CACGUAGGGGGCAAGCGUUGUCCGGAUUUAUUGGGCGUAAAGAGCUCGUAGGUGGCUGAGUAAGUCGGAUGUUAAAUCCCCAGGCUCAACCUGGGACACCACCCGAUACUGCUCUAGCUAGAGUCCGGUAGGGGAGCAUGGAAUUCCUGGUGUAGCGGUGAAAUGCGCAGAUAUCAGGAGGAACACCAGCGGCGAAGGCGGUGCUCUGGGCCGGAACUGACACUGAGGAGCGAAAGCGUGGGGAGCGAACAGG
rnacentral:rRNA from 1 species